UAAGGGCGCACGGUGGAUGCCUUGGCACUAGAAGCCGAUGAAGGACGUUACUAACGACGAUAUGCUUUGGGGAGCUGUAAGUAAGCUUUGAUCCAGAGAUUUCCGAAUGGGGAAACCCAGCAUGAGUUAUGUCAUGUUAUCGAUAUGUGAAUACAUAGCAUAUCAGAAGGCACACCCGGAGAACUGAAACAUCUUAGUACCCGGAGGAAGAGAAAGAAAAUUCGAUUCCCUUAGUAGCGGCGAGCGAAACGGGAAGAGCCCAAACCAACAAGCUUGCUUGUUGGGGUUGUAGGACACUCUAUACGGAGUUACAAAGGACGACAUUAGACGAAUCAUCUGGAAAGAUGAAUCAAAGAAGGUAAUAAUCCUGUAGUCGAAAAUGUUGUCUCUCUUGAGUGGAUCCUGAGUACGACGGAGCACGUGAAAUUCCGUCGGAAUCUGGGAGGACCAUCUCCUAAGGCUAAAUACUCUCUAGUGACCGAUAGUGAACCAGUACCGUGAGGGAAAGGUGAAAAGCACCCCGGAAGGGGAGUGAAAUAGAACCUG
rnacentral:rRNA from 1 species